GGGUUGUGAGGUUAAGCGACUAAGCGUACACGGUGGAUGCCCUGGCAGUCAGAGGCGAUGAAGGACGUGCUAAUCUGCGAUAAGCGUCGGUAAGGUGAUAUGAACCGUUAUAACCGGCGAUUUCCGAAUGGG
rnacentral:rRNA from 1 species